CGUUGAUUACGUCCCUGCCUUUUGUACACACCGCCCGUCGCUACUACCGAUUGAAUGGCUCAGUGAGGCGUUCGGACUGCCUUAGGGAGGGUGGCAACCCCCACCCAGAGGCGGAAAGUUAUCCAAACUUGGUCAUUUAGAGGAAGUAAAAGUCGUAACAAGG
rnacentral:rRNA from 1 species